rnacentral:rRNA from 1 species
CACGUAAUCAAGCUACCUGGCAGACGGGGAUAACUUCGGGAAACCGAUCGUAAACCCGAUAGCCUCACGACAUCGCAUGGUGAUGUGAGUAAAUGGACGGGACCCUCCGGGGCCGUCUGCUGCCAGAGGUGAUUGCGGCCCAUCAGCUUGUUGGUAGGGUAAUGGCCUACCAAGGCUACGACGGGUAGCCGGCCUAAGAGGGUGGCCGGUCGCACUGGGACUGAGACACUGCCCAGACUCCUACGGGAGGCUGCAGUCGAGAAUCUUCCGCAAUGGACGAAAGUCUGACGGAGCGACGCC